CACUGGCUAGCUUAACAAUGUAAACUUCUCUCCCACAAUCUUUUCUCUCCUUCUUCGUCUUCAAAUUCUCUCCCACACAAUCUUCGAAGGUCGGAAAUGCAUUUUCUGAAGUAGAAUUUGAAUUCGAAACGCGUCGGAAUCGUCUUGUGACGGUGAUUUUCAUCGUCGGAACUCGUCUUCGCAUUCUUCAAAAAUAUGUUGUUCCAGAAGCAUGCAAACAAAAUGUGUGGCGUAAAAUGAUUAAGCUUUGGAAAAAUUACAAAUCAAAGAUUAUGAAAGAAGUGAGGGACAAAGCUGAAUUAGUAGGCUUACCACGUGAUGCUGCUAUACUCAAACCUGAUAAUAUAGAUUCAAUGGAAGCGUGGUUGAAGUUUGUCAAAUCCAGAACCACAGAAGAAUAUAUGACAAGUUGCGAAAGGUUCAGAUUGAUGCGGUAGGAAAGGAGCUUGAUGCAUAGAACAAGUAGAAAACGUUUCGCAUGUAUUGAAGAAGACUGAAGCAACGAAGUGAGAAUCCAGAUGCAAUUACAAGGUCUGAUGUUUGGCUGGAGGCAUAUGAAGUGAAGAACAAAGCAGACAAACAAGUUGAGGAUCCAGAAAUAGUGACUAGUAAGAAGAUACAGGGAGGAGGAAGAAGAGAUGACAUAACCAUAUUCUAUAAGAACUUAUGCUGUUGCAAAGGCGCUUAGUCCUGACCCGCGAGGAAGAGUUUGAGGGCUCGGGUUUGGUGCACUUCCUUCAAAAGUGGAUGGUCAAACACAUAUUGCUAAUAAGUCACUCUGUUAGAAAACGCUCUUGCUUCUCAAACACAAUAGGUGCAACAAUUGUCACAAUUGAUUAGAGAACUUCUUGCUCAGAUAGCGAUUGGAGGCAAUGUUAAUGAACACACAAGUGAGGUACGGUCUACUAGUUGGAUUGCAAAGGAUAAGCGUAAAGCAAAUAGGAACUCAACCAAAGAUGGUGGCAGUAAGGAACCUAGUAGGCCUAGAAAGAGUCAAAAGAGGGAUGCAGAGGAUGAAGGCAGAUGAUGGAGUAUUGAUCUUGAUAGGAUUAACUUUGGUCUGCUAUUGAUUUUCAACAGUUUUGUUAAAAUCUGAAACAUAACUUGGUCUCUAUUAAAACUUUGCUUGGAUUUGUAUAGUAUUCUAUCAAUUCUUAAUCUCCUUGCAACAUUCUAUUCAAUUGGAUGAUUUUUGUUUACAAUUGACUUUCCAAGUUAAUCUCGAGUGAGUAUCGUAUU